rnacentral:rRNA from 1 species
GUGUCAGCCGCCGCGGUAAUACGUAGGUGGCAAGCGUUGUCCGGAAUUACUGGGCGUAAAGGGUGCGUAGGCGGUUCAUUAAGUGGGAUGUGAAAUACCCGGGCUUAACCUGGGAACUGCAUUCCAAACUGGUGAGCUAGAGUGCAGGAGAGGAAAGUGGAAUUCCCAGUGUAGCGGUGAAAUGCGUAGAGAUUGGGAGGAACACCAGUGGCGAAGGCGACUUUCUGGACUGUAACUGACGCUGAUGCACGAAAGUGUGGGGAGCAAACAGGAUUAGAUACCCUGGUAGUCCACACUGUAAACUAUGAGUACUAGGUGUAGGGGGCGAAGCCCUCUGUGCCGCAGUUAACACAUUAAGUACUCCGCCUGGGAAGUACGAUCGCAAGAUUAAAACUCAAAGGAAUUGACGG